ACCAGCAGCUCAUUUGCAUCAGCUGGGAGGAGCAUCUCAGUAAACAGCUUGUGUGCCAACUUGUAGUUCUUCAAGAUCGAAGCCUCGAGCUUUAAACCAGCUUGUAGUCCUUGUAGUUCCAAAAGUCCCGAUUGGUGUGAUUCCAAAAGUCCCGAUCGGUGUGGUUUCAGAAGUCUCGACUGGCUCGUCUAUCAAAACAAAAUCGAUGACUUGAGGGGCCGACAGGCU
rnacentral:lncRNA from 1 species